GUUUUAGCAUGCUAGCUAGCUCAAUGCUAGCGGGGUAUCCAGCUCUUCUCAUGACUUUUGUGGAUUAAGCAAAGUACAUUUUUUUACCACAGUGUCAGGAUCAGUCAUGUAAACCUGGGAUAAUUGUCCGUGAAUUGUCACUAGGGUUAAUCAAAUAUGUUAUAACCUAUAAGGUUUCUCAAUAUUUUUCAGGGUUUGUAACAGACAGAGGGAAUUAUUGAACAGAGAAACAAUAUUGCUGUGCCAUAUUAUUCAAAAUGUAUGCGUCUGCACUAUGCAGACUGGCAGAAGUCCGGUAUUCGAGUGAACCAGAGCAGAGUAAAUUGUAGCAGACCAGCAAAAACGUGUUUUAUUCCACUUAAAAUUAUUCCAGUAUUAGACAUCAAUAGAAUUAUUAGUAUAUUUAAUUGGGUGGUGGUUUUAAAAUUGACUAUUGCUGUAUGUCUGUUGUUUUCUAUAAGGGCCGUUGUUAUGCAUACCAUAACAAAAAAGGCAGGAAUACUGAGGCAGCUACGACGUGGAUGUCUACAACUUCUUUAAGAUGCAGGCCCCAAAGACGUCCCAGUGUGAUGCAAAGGCUGUCCAGCAGGCUCACAGACAUCUCCUGUCAACUGAAAGAGAAGCCUUUAAAAUAGUUGUCCAUUUUGACCACACUGUCUGCUUCCCAUUUCUUAGUGCCUGUACGAAAACAGUGACUUUUCCACCUCAAGUCUUUUAAGGAGUUUUAAAAACAGUUAUUUUAAUUUCUCUGAAUUGUGGUUCAGAAUUUCACAGAAUCUAAUGCACUUGACUCUGUGUUUCAGAGAUCUUUGCAAAACCAUCAGUCUUUUGUACAAAACACAUUCAAUGGUCAAACAUUAAAAAAUGAAGCUUUACAAAAUA